CUGACUUUGUCCAAGAUU
rnacentral:piRNA from 1 species